CUUUUGACUGCGCAAAUUAUUUUGAAGAUCUCGAAGUAACAUACCAGCCUCGGAACCAAUUCCUUUGAAGAGCUGCAUUAUAUGUACCGAAAUCAACUAGAAGCUUAACAAGUCUUGGGGAAAUUUCAAUUAGAAUAACAUUUCAUAUUCAUGAAUCAUGUAUACUAAGGACAAAAAGCACAGAAAAAAGAAGAGUCAACAUAAGACCAAAAAUGACACAUAAGAAGUACAUGGGGUGACAUAUAGUCGACAUGAAAUUGGUGACUAUUAGCAGUGGGAAGUAAGGACUCAUCCGAAGAUGAAUAAAAGCUGGGCGCGCGCACACAUAGGGAGAAAGCAAUCAAGAACCUUGCUUCAGUCGGUCAAUUUCUGAGUACAAAUCCUUG